AUUUGUAGUCUGAGGAACACGAACUUCAUAUAAGGCUAGGUAUCAUUGGAUGAGUUUGCUUAACAAAACAAAGUCCUUUCUGUCGAAGGUGAUACAGAGUAAAUGAAAGCAGAUAGGUGGAGGGAAA
rfam:Bacillus sp. SA1-12 scf7180000003467, whole genome shotgun sequence.